rnacentral:rRNA from 1 species
UCAAUCUCGUGCGGCUGUAUACACCGCCGGUCCCUCUAAGAAGAAUUUUAGUACGCCGAUAGUUCGAGGGCCGACCGAAGCCGGCGCCCCACAGAUAUCGGAAGCACGUCUAUUUAAUAGGCUAGAGUUACGUUCGUUAC